GAUGAACGCUGGCGGCGUGCCUAAUACAUGCAAGUCGAGCGAACAGACGAGGAGCUUGCUCCUCUGACGUUAGCGGCGGACGGGUGAGUAACACGUGGAUAACCUACCUAUAAGACUGGGAUAACUUCGGGAAACCGGAGCUAAUACCGGAUAAUAUUUUGAACCGCAUGGUUCAACAGUGAAAGACGGUUUUGCUGUCACUUAUAGAUGGAUCCGCGCCGCAUUAGCUAGUUGGUAAGGUAACGGCUUACCAAGGCAACGAUGCGUAGCCGACCUGAGAGGGUGAUCGGCCACACUGGAACUGAGACACGGUCCAGACUCCUACGGGAGGCAGCAGUAGGGAAUCUUCCGCAAUGGGCGAAAGCCUGACGGAGCAACGCCGCGUGAGUGAUGAAGGUCUUCGGAUCGUAAAACUCUGUUAUUAGGGAAGAACAAAUGUGUAAGUAACUAUGCACGUCUUGACGGUACCUAAUCAGAAAGCCACGGCUAACUACGUG
rnacentral:rRNA from 1 species